CUUCUUUCUUCUCUGUUUCUUCUUUCUUUCUUCUUUUCUUUUUUCUUUCUUCUCCGUUCAGCCCCGACGGUGCACCCCCCAGCCUGGCGCGGCGAUCAGCGGUGGCGCACGGCGGUAGGGGAGCAUCAUUAGCCUAGGGAGGCUGCUGGAGUAGCUGGAGGUGGGUGGAGCACGCUUGGCUGCCGACUGGCAGAUUUGACAUGUCCAGGAGGACCAAAUUGUAAAGGGUGUAAAGUUUUCAGGGUAAAAAUGUAAUUUUAUAAAAAUAUGAGGCUAAAAUGUAAUUUUUAGAAAUUUUAGGGGUUCGAAUGUAAUUUUUAUUUUUUUUA